GUGCCUGCUUCAGCAGCACAAUGCUAAAAAUGAAAUGAUACAGGCAAGAUUACCAUGGCCCCUUGCAAGGAGGACACACAAGUUCCUGAAGCACCCAUAUUUAAA
rnacentral:snRNA from 1 species